rnacentral:rRNA from 1 species
ACUGGACGCUGGCGGCAUGCCUUACACAUGCAAGUCGAACGGCAGCGGGGGAGAAGCUUGCUUUUCCUGCCGGCGAGUGGCGAACGGGUGAGUAAUACAUCGGAACGUGCCCUGUAGUGGGGGAUAACUAGUCGAAAGAUUAGCUAAUACCGCAUACGACCUGAGGGUGAAAGGGGGGGACCGCAAGGCCUCAUGCUAUAGGAGCGGCCGAUGUCUGAUUAGCUAGUUGGUGGGGUAAAGGCCUACCAAGGCGACGAUCAGUAGCUGGUCUGAGAGGACGAUCAGCCACACUGGGACUGAGGCACGGCCCAGACUCCUACGGGAGGCAGCAGUGGGGAAUUUUGGACAAUGGGCGAAAGCCUGAUCCAGCAAUGCCGCGUGUGUGAAGAAGGCCUUCGGGUUGUAAAGCACUUUUGUCCGGAAAGAAAUGGCUCUGGUUAAUACCUGGGGUCGAUGACGGUACCGGAAGAAUAAGGACCGGCUAACUACGUGCCAGCAGCCGCCGUAA